rnacentral:rRNA from 1 species
CGUGUCCUACGGGACGCAGCAGUGGGGAAUUUUGGACAAUGGGCGCAAGCCUGAUCCAGCUAUUCCGCGUGUGGGAUGAAGGCCCUCGGGUUGUAAACCACUUUUGUAGAGUACGAAAAGACACCUUCGAAUAAAGGGUGUUGCUGACGGUACUCUAAGAAUAAGCACCGGCUAACUACGUGCCAGCAGCCGCGGUAAUACGUAGGGUGCGAGCGUUAAUCGGAAUUACUGAGCGUAAAGGGUGCGCAGGCGGUUGAGGAAGACAGAGGUGAAAUCCCCGAGCUUAACUCGGGAAUGGCAUAUGU